CAGUCGCCGCGGGAAUACGUAGGUGGCAAGCGUUGUCCGGAAUUAUUGGGCGUAAAGCGCGCGCAGGCGGAUCAGUUAGUCUGUCUUAAAAGUUCGGGGCUUAACCCCGUGAUGGGAUGGAAACUGCUGAUCUAGAGUAUCGGAGAGGAAAGUGGAAUUCCUAGUGUAGCGGUGAAAUGCGUAGAUAUUAGGAAGAACACCAGUGGCGAAGGCGACUUUCUGGACGAAAACUGACGCUGAGGUGCGAAAGCCAGGGGAGCGAACGGGAUUAGAUACCCCUGUAGUCCCUGUCUCUUAUACA
rnacentral:rRNA from 1 species